GCCUCUGUAGUGCAAUGGUUCAGCACGCGCUCACGGUAAGAGUGAGAUUUGGGUUCGAAUCCCAGCUGACGCA